GUUAUCUCAGCCAGCCUGGGUAGUACUGUCUGUUCUCUUGCAACCCACUGGGCCUGCCUGGCUCUUGGGCACAAUCCCACAGCCUUUCCCCUGCUCUGGGCCCUCCACCACCUCCUCCCUAAAGAAGGUCAUGCAUCUUGGGCUCCAGCUGCCUGCUGUGGCCUCUCAGGAGAGGUCACGCAAUGCAGUUGAUGAGGUGGGGUCACGUGUGUUGGGGCAGCAGGCUGGCUGCAGUUGGGGGAGGUGGCUCCUGUGUCCCUGAGCUUGUCAUCUCUGUAAAGCCUUCCCUGACCACCCAGGCAAGGACCCCACCAGUGUUCCCUUGCCAAUGUUGCUGUUCUAUUUACACUGUGCAGGGCCUGUUCUCUGGGCAGAUGGCCAGGUUGAUGGCAUCAGGGCCCACCUCCUUGGGUGCAGGUGGUUCUUGUAAGAGCAGGGAGGACAAGUACCUAGUCCCAAGCCAGAGCUGGGAGCCUGUUUCAGUGGGGGCUCAGCCCUUGGAGACACCACUAGGGCUUAAGUAUUUCAGGAAGAGCUGAGGCAGGGGAAGGGCUAAGUACCUCUACCCUGCUCCUCAAUGCCUGCACUUGCCCCGCAGGAACCAGCCUGGCUUGUGGGGUGGUGGGCAAGAAUGGGCAGCUCUUCCUCUUCAGCCUGGGCUGCUAGUAGGUAGUGGUCCUUGGAGAUUAGUUUUGGGCAGGUUCCCUGGGCAAGCAAGUGUGGGCUUUGAGACCACCAUAGUAGUGACAGGCUGUGGGGUAAGCUGGGGCUUCCUCACCAGCUCAGCUAAGCUGGCAGUAUGAGGGCUACUGAACAUUGGGUCUCAGUCCAUCACUCCAGGUGCUAACCAAGAUGUGGGCAUCUCCUAGAUAGUGUUAGUGGGGUUGCUACUUCUCUUUGCCCCCACACUGAUAUGUGAUAAGGUAGAUGGUGAGUUUCAGAGCUUGGCGUGGAGAGCAGAUGGAGCUGG
rnacentral:lncRNA from 1 species